GACGAACGCUGGCGGCAUGCCUAACACAUGCAAGUCUAGGGGUAGCAAUACCACUGGCGCACGGGUGAGUAACACGUAGGUUAUCUGCCCCCAUCACAGACAUAACCCCGGGAAACCGGGGCUAAUAUCUGAUGAGGUCGCGAGAUCAAAGCUUCGGCGGAUGGGGAUGAGCCUGCGGCUGAUUAGCUAGUUGGUGAGGUAAUGGCUCACCAAGGCGACGAUCAGUAGCUGGUCUGAGAGGACGAACAGCCACACUGGAACUGAGACACGGUCCAGACUCCUACGGGAGGCAGCAGUGAGGAAUAUUGGUCAAUGGGAGCAAUCCUGAACCAGCAAUGCCGCGUGUGGGAUGACAGGGCUUCGCCUUGUAAACCACUGUCGGACGGGACGAAAAGGAGGCCUCGGGGCCUCUGGGACGGUACCGUCAAAGGAAGGGUCGGGCUAACUACGUGCCAGCAGCCGCGGUAAU
rnacentral:rRNA from 1 species